AACAGCGUCCUCAUUACCUGUAUCUAAUCUGCUUGGCAUGUGCAGCAUACAGCAUGCAUAUCGACGCACGACAGCAUGGAAGAAGUCAGCCCCGUUGGGCUUGGUAUUACCAAAAUAGCAUAUGUGUGGUAUGCAUUGCGCAAUCGUAUGACAUAAUCUGUUCGGCGGCAUCAUGAUGGCCAGCAAUACAGUCACUAGUAACCACGUCGACCUACCAACCUGCUCAAUCUGUUUGUGUGAAUAAUCACGUGGGCGAAGGAAAAAUUCAAAAUAGGUUUAGACUGGUAGUGCUUUCAUCGGGCGUUAGGAAGCCUUGGGAUUUGGGGUGCGGGCUAUGCCAGCCUAUUGAUGAUAGCUAUCAUCAAUCUCGGGACCCAGGACUUGCCCUUCAGCCCGGACACCAACCGUACACUGCGGACGACCUUCUCCACCUGGUGGAGCAGCUGCAGCAGGACUUUGGUUUAUCCCCUUAAGUUCCCCUUUAGGGAAUGAAGACGAAGGGGACCAACGACUGUAGUUUAAUCUAUCAAGCUAGUAGCUCUAACGUAUUUAAAAAUACGUGACAGAACACGACAGUCAAUGGAGAUGGUCCUGCUGUCCCUUCGGCGAGGUGAGGACUUGCUGCCUACACGGCAGCUAGAGGCAGCCUAUAGACGCUAUGUUGAACGCGCCUCUUUUCCGCCCAUCUCAACUUGCGCGGCGGCUGCCGUACUUUCCUCCACGUGAUCCGCCAUGGCGCCCUACAUCUCUACUAAAUGUAGACUUCAAAUCCCCCGCCAUCAUGUGCUCGCCCCACCUCCGCCUCACCCCCGUAACCUUUGCUUGCAGGUAUGAGGCACCAAGCACAAUGCAAUAAAAUAGCCGCUUGGUCUGGAUGUACGGUGCUGCGGACAGGGAAGCGUCCGCUGGCCGGGUACAUGUUACGAGCUGGCGAGGGCUCGUAAGGCCCAGACGAGCAAGGGAGCUCCUGGACCUCCGCGAGUUCUAGCGUAGUCGAAAAGAUAAAAGAAAAAGGGUUAUGAAGCCAGUCUGCGAGAGAAAUAAAUAACUAGACUAGGCGGGCGUGGCCUUUCUACUCGGCUAUCAACGUGCAUCGCCGCAUGCAGAUGGUAUGAACGACCUGUAAAGUCCGCGCUGAUCACCAAUGUCCAUGACAGACCUCAUAUUAGCACGGACUCGAUAUCCGCCUAGCGUACACCUAUAGGUUGAGGAGCCCCUCCCGUAGGUCCCUGUAGGCGCGACACUCUAGCAACAUGUGAAACUCAUCUUCUACUGUAUUAUUGUUUGCAACCACAAACCCCGCACC
rnacentral:lncRNA from 1 species